rnacentral:rRNA from 1 species
GCUUGUCUCAAAGAUUAAGCCAUGCAUGUCUUAGUGUAAAUAACUCUUAUGAAACUGCGAAUGGCUCAUUAAAUCAGUUAUCGUUUAUUUGAUGGUCCCUUACUACAUGGAUAACCGUAGUAAUUCUAGAGCUAAUACAUGCACAAAGGCCCGACUCACGAAGGGCUGUAUUUAUUAGAUCCAAAACCAAUGCGGGGCAACCCGGUUACUGGUGAUUCAUAAUAACCUAUCGGACCGAAUGGCCUUGCGCCGUCGGUGCAUCAUUCAAAUUUCUGCCCUAUCAAUUUGUUGGUAGUAUAUAGGACUACCAAGAUGAUUACGGGUAACGGAGAAUUAGGGUUUGAUUCCGGAGAGGGAGCCUGAGAAACGGCUACCACAUCUAAGGAAGGCAGCAGG